rnacentral:rRNA from 1 species
AGCAGUAGCCGCGGUAAUACAGAGGGUGCGAGCGUUAAUCGGAUUUACUGGGCGUAAAGCGUGCGUAGGCGGCUUUUUAAGUCGGAUGUGAAAUCCCUGAGCUUAACUUAGGAAUUGCAUUCGAUACUGGGAAGCUAGAGUAUGGGAGAGGAUGGUAGAAUUCCAGGUGUAGCGGUGAAAUGCGUAGAGAUCUGGAGGAAUACCGAUGGCGAAGGCAGCCAUCUGGCCUAAUACUGACGCUGAGGUACGAAAGCAUGGGGAGCAAACAGGAUUAGAGACCCCCGUAGUCCCUGUCUCUUAUAC